rnacentral:rRNA from 1 species
GUUACGACCUCGGAUCGGGCGGGACUACCCGCUCGGUUUAAGCAUAUUACUAAGCGGAGGAAAAGAAACUAACAAGGAUUCCCCCAGUAGCUGCGAGCGAACAGGGAAGAGCCCAGCACCGAAUCCCGCGGGCGUCGCCCGCAGGGACAUGUGGUGUUAGGGAGGACCCGCACAACCGGAGCCACGGUGGAGCGUCCAAGUCCAUCUUGAACGGGGCCACUGCCCGCAGAGGGUGCCAGGCCCGUGGCGGCCUCCGCCGGUUCCGGGUGGGUCUCUCCUCAGAGUCGGGUUGCUUGAGAGUGCAGCCCUAAGUGGGUGGUAAACUCCAUCUAAGGCUAAAUACUACCACGAGACCGAUAGCGAACAAGUACCGUGAGGGAAAGUUGAAAAGAACUUUGAAGAGAGAGUUCAACAGUACGUGAAACCGUUCAGGGGUAAACGGAAGAGACCCGAAAGCACGCACGGGGAGAUUCACGCCCUCUCGCGCGUCCGGGUCCCGCUGCGGCGAGACGGUCCCGGCGGCUCGGGCAGGCGCAAGCCAGCCCGCGACCCGCAGGAGACCGCUCGAUUCGCACGGGUGUCCCGGCCGCGGAGGGCCGCACUUCUCCCCGACGGCACGUCGCGACCCGUUGGGCGACGGUCUAAGGCCCCGGAGGAAGUCCGGGCGGCUUCGCGCCGCUCGGGCCCCGGGUGUCCCGGCCUAAACGCCCGACGGUAGCGAACGCAGGCGCAACGCCCCCUUUUAGGGAGUCGGAGGCUCGGCGCGAGCGGGGGCGGCCCCGCGGCGGUGGACCCAGCGUCCGCCGUCGCGGCCGUCCCGCUGCCACGCUGCCGUAAGCCUCGGACGGACGGCGGCGCCGGUCGGCGACGCUUCAGCUUCGGGCACUCGUCCGACCCGUCUUGAAACACGGACCAAGGAGUCUAACAUGUGCGCGAGUCAUUGGGCUCAUUCUAAACCCAAAGGCGCAGUGAAAUCGAAGGCGGGCCCGCGAGGGCCCGCCCGAGAAAGAGGGAGGAUGGGCGUACCGUCCACGUGGCGGCGCCCCGCACUCCCGGGGCGUCCCGUUCUCCUAAGCCGAGGCGGGGCGCACCAAGAGCGUACACGUUGGGACCCGAAAGAUGGUGAACUAUGCCCGGCCAGGACGAAGCCAGGGGAAACCCUGGUGGAGGUCCGUAGCGAUUCUGACGUGCAAAUCGAUCGUCAAAGCUGGGUAUAGGGGCGAAAGACUAAUCGAACCAUCUAGUAGCUGGUUCCCUCCGAAGUUUCCCUCAGGAUAGCUGGCGUUCGGAGGUUAAAGAUUCUCAUGCGGUAAAGCGAAUGAUUAGAGGCAUUGGGGCCGAAACGGCCUCAACCUAUUCUCAAACUUUAAAUGGGUGAGAACUCCGGCAUGCUUGACGCCUGGCUAGCGCUCUUGAAGCCGGAGGUUCGGAUCCUUGAACGCCAAGUGGGCCAAUUUUGGUAAGCAGAACUGGCGCUGUGGGAUGAACCAAACGCCGAGUUAAGGCGCCCGAACGACGCUCAUGGGAAACCAUGAAAGGCGUUGGUUGCUUAAGACAGCAGGACGGUGGCCAUGGAAGUCGGAAUCCGCUAAGGAGUGUGUAACAACUCACCUGCCGAAGCAACUAGCCCUGAAAAUGGAUGGCGCUGUAGCGUCGUGCCUAUACUCGGCCGUCGGCGGCACAGAGGCCGGGCCCCUCGCGGGGUCCGGGCCCUUACGCCCCGACGAGUAGGAGGGCGCGGCGGUGUGCGCAGAAGGGUCUGGGCGCGAGCCCGCCUGGAGCCGCCGCCGGCGCAGAUCUUGGUGGUAGUAGCAAUUACUCCAGCGAGGCCCUGGAGGACUGACGUGGAGAAGGGUUUCUUGUGAACAGCUGUUGCACAAGAGUCAGUCGAUCCUAAGCCCUAGGAGACAUCCGAUGUCGAUGGGCGCCGUCAGUGUGCGCGCGCAAGCGCGCGCCGAGCCGGCGCCCCCUGGGCGAAAGGGAAUCCGGUUCCUAUUCCGGAACCCGGCAGCGGAACCGUUCCGAUGCGGGCCCUCGCACGAGUGCUCGUCGGGGUAACCCAAACGAACCCGGAGAAGCCGACGGGAGGUCCGGAGAGAGUUUUCUUUUCUCUAUAAGCGGUCGGGAACCCUGGAAUCCUCUAAGAGGGAGAUAGGGUUUGGACCGCGAAGAGCACCGCAGUUGCAGCGGUGUCCGGAUCUUCCCCUCGGACCUUGAAAAUCCGGGGGAGGGCUACGCGGACAGUCCGCGCCGGAUCGUACCCAUAUCCGCAGCAGGUCUCCAAGGUGAAGAGCCUCUAGUCGAUAGAAUAAUGUAGGUAAGGGAAGUCGGCAACUCGGAUCCGUACCUUCGGAAGAAGGGUUGGCUCUGAGGACCGGGGCGUGUCGGGCUUGGCGGGGAAGCGGGUCCGCGCCGUAGCGCCGGGCCUGGGCGAGGCGAUCGGGGCACGUGUCGGGGGCUAACGCCCACGGCGCGCCCGUGAACCGAGCUCGGUCCCGUG